GUUAAUUUUUAUUUUUAAAUAUAUUUUAUUAAAGAUAGGGUUUUUUUUUAAUUACUGAGAUUAUUGGAGUACCCUUAAAUUUUGCACUAAAGUGAGUAUCUCAUAUGAUUCACCUUCAUCUCAGCCCUGCUUAAUGUUUCCUGAUGUGGGGCACCUUGUGCAGCUCUGUCAGUUAACUGUCUAACUCUUGAGGCUCCUGUCUUCAGCUCAGGGUCAUAAGGUCAAGUCCCACAUUGGGAUCCAUGCUGAGUGUGGAGCCUACAUAAAAAGAAAAAAAAAAAAUGUUCCCUGAUGUGUAUCCUUUCUUAAAGCUAAGUAAAACUGGUGCCAGUGGAAGUCUCUUGUUUUUCCUAAAUUUUGUUGUUUAUCCAAACCGAGAAUACUACAGCUAAUGUAGUAGAAUUAAUUACUGAAGUAAGUCAAACUUUUAAAAAUAUGGAAACAAUAAUUGGAGGAAAUGGAGAUAAUAAAGAAAAUAAGAUACGAAAAUAAACAAAAAUUCUGACUUAAUAUGCCUAAAGAUAUAUGAAAAUAUUGCUACCAAGAAUUGGAUACUAUUUUCAAAACGUGAAAUAUCCAGAGUACAGUUCUUUAUUUUCAACCAAUCUCUAUUAUUAUUUUUUUUGCUUCUACCUUACCCCAUUAUUUAUCCACCAAACCACAGGUAUCUUGUGCUGCAAAUAACUAAGACUUCCGGGAAUUGUGCAGUGCAAUGUCAAUUAUAUCAUUUCUUGUCUUUUCCCACUGACAACUUAGGUUACUUUUCUCACAUGUUUGUUAUUUACUGCUAGUCCAGAGACUUAGCUUGCAAAAUGUUGUUGCAUUGUUCUCAACCCUCAAUCUCCCCUAACUUGAAAGUUUGUGUCAUAUAAUGAAAAAUAACACUUUAGUUUCAUUUUAGUGGAGUGCAUGGAGGGAAACCAUAGAAGAGGUCAGUCUACCACCAUUACCUGAAAUUUAGCUUUUUAAAUGUUUAUCAUGUUUAUACAACACUUUUAUCAGCACAAAAAAGAACAUGAGUCAAGAUUUCUACAAUGAGAUUAAGAUGUGCGAAAUAUAUUUACAUUUUAGCAGAGAAUUUUAAGUAUCUUCUAUGUACCAAUACUAUACACUCUUUAUUGAACAUACAAUAUUUCAAAGAAGAAAGACAUAACAAUGGGCAUUUUCUAUAGUCUGAAAUAUAUUAUUUUGAAAAAAAAAAAAAAAACUCAUGGUGCAAUAGGAACAACCAUAGCUCAGUAGUCCAGGGAAGUCUACCAGAAAGGAUAACUUCUAAGUUCAGUCAUUAAAAAAUUAGACUAAGUACUAAAAGAAUGACAGGAAACAGGAACAUCUCUAGCUAAAUGCUAAGUAUAAUAGUAAUGCAUGUAACAUUCUAGAAAGAUAGGAGAACACAGCAUGAGGGAAGCCUCAUAAUUCAUUCAGCACAUUUAUAGCAAGAUUUGAAGGCAAUAAAGAAUGAUAAUUGUCAAGGUACUUCUUCAAAAGGAUAAGUCAUCGAUUCUUAACAUUAUUGAAUUAGCAGUGUAUUUACUGAAUUAGAACACUACAUAUUGACAAUAGAAGUAUAAAUGAGAUUUAAAUGGACAAAUUUACUACUUGACCUGCUAAACACUGUUUGAUUUUCAGUUUUAUUUAGAAGAGAAUAAUAUUUAAUAAUAUAGGUAGUCUAGAUUAAAGAAACUUCCACAAUUCAUGAAGGAAACAUGACAAACAAAUGUCAAAGGAAACUCCAUUUACUUCCUGUGUAAAUGAUCUUAAGAUACACUCAGAGUUAGGAAAGAAACCCUGAGAACAUGAGUUGAUUCUGGACAUUCUACUAAGGUACUAAGGAUAGAGUCUUGGCCAAGCAUCUUUAACAAACUGCAAUGACCUUUUUAUUCCAGUGAGCAUCUCCCAGUAUUUUAAAUUUAUCAUCAUGAACAAUACAGUCAACAUAAGGAAUUAGCAGCAAAUAGAAUUUUAAAAGAAUGUCUUGGUGUUCAAGAAGUUGAAAAUCAUAUUUAUACUCAGGUACUAAAGGCUUUGUCUCUGUUACUUAUUGUUAGGAAAAAUAAAUGACUAAAAGCAUCUAUUUCCAAAGGGCUUAACUAUAUCUUAAUUGUCACAUUCCUAAUGCACUGCUAAAGAGGGCAUUUCAACUCAUUUGUUUUCUGCCAAGAAACUGUCCCUGGCAUUUUUUUGUCUAUGCAUUCAUUAUUAAUUAACAUUUUACUAAUCCCUUUAAAGCAAGAAAUAUAAUGGGCAUUUUAACAUGUACUUUAAAAAUUAUUAAAAGGCAAGGGAGUCAUCCUCUAAUGUACUCACAAUAAGUAUAAUCCCAUUGGGAGUACACAUGCAAGAAUAGAAACGUUGGCUAAAUGGUUGUUUUUCCUUCUCUAUAUAUGACUAUAAAAGUAAGACUACUCUCUCCAAAGAAUAUUUUGGCAUUUAUUUUAGCAUGAAUGGUAUUUACUCUGCUAUUCUCUUCUCACCUUUCCAUUAUACAGGUAAACACACUCAUUUACUCUUGAGAAUAUUUUAUUCAUGGGGCAGUGACAUUGAAAUUGGAACCACAAUCUUUUGUCCUUUCCUAAGCUUGAAGGAAAAUAAAGAUAUAUUUUUCUUUAUGAAUUAUGAUCAUUUUUGUAGCUGAGAAAAAUGAUGGAUAAAGAUUAAGGCAUUUGGUUAAGAAUAAUACAACAUUGAUUUUUUUCACGUUCCUAUCAUCAUUAAAAUUUUGAUACCUUUAUUUCUUUCUUUAAGUUUUGGAUAUCCCCACAAGGACCUUAUUCAUGAGUAUCAGUAACUUAUAGAACAAAGAACGUUGGUAUUCUAGACCUUAGCAACAUUUGUGAUUUGGGACUAGUUUUCAGCUUCUCACAGUAUUAAUUUUUCCAUGUGUAAAGUGGAACAUUGACCACUAAUGUCCCUAUUAACUUCAAAUUACCAUACUGGGGUUUUAAUUAUUUACCCAGGUCUUAAGGUCUCUCAUUUAAAUAUUAUAUGCAAAUCACGAUUUAAUUUUCAUUUUGUAAGUUUUCAAAUGUCUUUUCACAUAAAAUAAAUGUGUGAACAGCAUUUUUUAUUCAAUUAUUAUGGUUGAGUAUUAAAAUUAUUCAAUCACACACUGGGAAACAUUUUAAUAAUAUACUAAUUUAUAUUUAACAUUUAUUGUAAUAUUUAUUAUUUCAGUUAAUGCCAUGAUUAUUUAGUAUUUACUUAAUAGGAUAAAAAAUUGUAGCCAAACAAAAUAGAUACCAAGACAAAGAGUAUUACCAGAUAUCAAGAAUAUUAUUUCACAGUGAUAAAAGGGGUCAGUCCAUCAGGAAGAUAUAACAAACCUAGUUAUAUAUAUACUUAAGAGCAAGGUUUAGAAAUACAUGAGACAAAAUUACAGAAUUGAAGAAAUAAAUCUCAAAUCCACACUUGUAUGGAGAGUUUACCACUGCUUUGGUAAUUGAGAGCAAGAAGACCAAAAAAAAAAAAAAAAAAAAAAA
rnacentral:lncRNA from 1 species